AUUGAACGCUGGCGGCAUGCCUUACACAUGCAAGUCGAACGGCAGCACGGGAGCAAUCCUGGUGGCGAGUGGCGAACGGGUGAGUAAUAUAUCGGAACGUGCCCAGUCGUGGGGGAUAACGCAGCGAAAGCUGUGCUAAUACCGCAUACGAUCUAUGGAUGAAAGCGGGGGAUCGCAAGACCUCGCGCGAUUGGAGCGGCCGAUAUCAGAUUAGCUAGUUGGUGGGGUAAAAGCCCACCAAGGCGACGAUCUGUAGCUGGUCUGAGAGGACGACCAGCCACACUGGAACUGAGACACGGUCCAGACUCCUACGGGAGGCAGCAGUGGGGAAUUUUGGACAAUGGGCGCAAGCCUGAUCCAGCAAUGCCGCGUGCAGGAUGAAGGCCUUCGGGUUGUAAACGUGCUUUUGUUACGGAGCGAAACGGGACUCUUCCUAAUAAAGAGAGCUAAUGACGGUACCGUAAGAA
rnacentral:rRNA from 1 species